GCAUCAGUGGUCUAACGGUUAUGAUCCGGUCUUCCCAUGGAGAGAAUUAUUAUCAGUUUGGCCGGGAAAGGGGUUCGACUCCCCUCUGAUGCA
rnacentral:tRNA from 1 species